rnacentral:misc_RNA from 1 species
GAUGAAGAACGCAGCGAAAUGCGAUACGUAAUGUGAAUUGCAGAAUUCAGUGAAUCAUCGAAUCUUUGAACGCAUAUUGCGCUCUUUGGUAUUCCGAAGAGCAUGCUUGUUUGAGUAUCAGUAAACACCUCAAAGCUUUUGGAUUUUUUAAUCGAAAAGCUUUGGACUUGAGCAAUCCCAACACCAAUCUUUUUGAGAUCGGUGGCGGGUUGCUUGAAAUGCAGGUGCAGCUGGACAUUCUCCUGAGCUAAAAGCAUAUUCAUUUAGUCCCGUCAAACGGAUUAUUACUUUUGCUGCAGCUAACAUAAAGGGAGUUUGACCGUAUUGGCUGACUGAUGCAGGAUUUCACAAGGGUCGGCAACGAUUCUUGUUAAACUCGAUCUCAAAUCAGGUAAGACUACCCGCUGAACUUAAGCAUAUCAAUAAGCGGAGGA